CGUACUGAGACACGGACCAGACUCCUACGGGAGGCAGCAGUGGGGAAUUUUGGACAAUGGGGGCAACCCUGAUCCAGCAAUGCCGCGUGAGUGAAGAAGGCCUUCGGGUUGUAAAGCUCUUUUGUCAGGGAAGAAACAGCAGCUCUAACACAGUCUGCGAAUGACGGUACCUGAAGAAUAAGCACCGGCUAACUACGUGCCAGCAGCCGCGGUAAUACGUAGGGUGCAAGCGUUAAUCGGAAUUACUGGGCGUAAAGCGUGCGCAGGCGGUUAUACAAGACAGGCGUGAAAUCCCCGGGCUUAACCUGGGAAUGGCGUCUGUGACUGUAUGACUAGAGUGUGUCAGAGGGGGGUAGAAUUCCACGUGUAGCAGUGAAAUGCGUAGAUAUGUGGAGGAAUACCAAUGGCGAAGGCAGCCCCCUGGGAUAACACUGACGCUCAUGCACGAAAGCGUGGGGAGCAAACAGGAUUAGAUACCCUGGUAGUCCACGCCCUAAACGAUGCCGACUAGUUGUUGGGAAUUUACAUUCUCAGUAACGUAGCUAACGCGUGAAGUCGGCCGCCUGGGGAGUACGGUCGCAAGAUUAAAACUCAAAGGAAUUGACGG
rnacentral:rRNA from 1 species